AUUGAACGCUGGCGGCAGGCCUAACACAUGCAAGUCGAGCGGAUGAAGGGAGCUUGCUCCUGGAUUCAGCGGCGGACGGGUGAGUAAUGCCUAGGAAUCUGCCUGGUAGUGGGGGAUAACGUCCGGAAACGGGCGCCAAUACCGCAUACGUCCUGAGGGAGAAAGUGGGGGAUCUUCGGACCUCACGCUAUCAGAUGAGCCUAGGUCGGAUUAGCUAGUUGGUGGGGUAAAGGCCUACCAAGGCGACGAUCCGUAACUGGUCUGAGAGGAUGAUCAGUCACACUGGGACUGAGACACGGUCCAGACUCCUACGGGAGGCAGCGGUGGGGAAUAUUGGACAAUGGGCGAAAGCCUGAUCCAGCCAUGCCGCGUGUGUGAAGCAGGUCUUCGGAUUGUAAAGCACUUUAAGUUGGGGGGAAGGGCAGUAAGUUAAUACCUUGCUGUUUUGACGGUACCAACAGAAGAAGCACCGGCUAACUUCGUG
rnacentral:rRNA from 1 species